AUGCAGUCGACGGGAUCCAGGCUUCGGCCUGGUGAGAGUGGCGGACGGGUGAGUAACGCGUGGGAACCUGCCCAAUGGUCUGGGAUAACCGCGGGAAACUGCGGCUAAUACCGGAUAAGCCCGAGAGGGGAAAGAUUUAUCGCCGAUGGAGGGGCCCGCGUCCGAUUAGGUAGUUGGUGAGGUAACGGCUCACCAAGCCUACGAUCGGUAGCUGGUCUGAGAGGAUGGUCAGCCACACUGGGACUGAGAUACGGCCCAGACUCCUACGGGAGGCAGCAGUGGGGAAUAUUGGACAAUGGGGGCAACCCUGAUCCAGCAAUGCCGCGUGAGUGAUGAAGGCCUUAGGGUUGUAAAGCUCUUUUGGCGGGGACGAUGAUGACGGUACCCGCAGAAUAAGCCCCGGCUAACUUCGUGCCAGCAGCCGCGGUAAUACGAAGGGGGCGAGCGUUGUUCGGAAUUACUGGGCGUAAAGGGCGCGUAGGCGGCGACUCUAGUCAGAUGUGAAAGUCCUGGGCUUAACCUGGGGACUGCAUUUGAUACUGGGUUGCUUGAAUUCGGGAGAGGAUAGCGGAAUUCCCAGUGUAGAGGUGAAAUUCGUAGAUAUUGGGAAGAACACCGGUGGCGAAGGCGGCUAUCUGGACCGACAUUGACGCUGAGGCGCGAAAGCGUGGGGAGCAACAGGAUUAGAACCCUGGUAGUCACGCCGUAACGAUGAUGCUAGACGCUGGGAGCUGCUCUCGGUGUCCAGCUACGCAUAG
rnacentral:rRNA from 1 species